CUCCCAUUUCUGUAAUAGAUUUUUAAAAAAUGGAUCUGCUGAUUACAUCUAAAAGCUCUCCUUCCAACAUCUUCAACUCUGGCUCAGGGCAAGAUGUGGCGGUCCCCGCUCUCGUGCCUGAGGGUUAAAAGUCUCAGGAGCUGGCUCAGGCAGGUCUUCAGGGGCAGGGCUCAUUUCUGGCCCCGAGAGAGGAACUGCAGCCCCUUGCAACCUGCUGCUCCCUAUUUAAAGAGAGCGAGUUGGAGGUGGAGGUGUGGGGGGAGGAGAGGGAGAGAAAUGAACAUGCUUUGGAUGUAGAAUCAAUUUGAGUGUGACUCAAUCCCUCGGCAUUAAACUUUUCCCCUCAAUUAUUUCAAAUUUAUGUCUAUCUGCUGAAGAACCACGGUCUUAGCAUCAUCGGAGAGCAAAAUGGGAAGAUACGACCCACACUCAUGGCAUUUAUAUUCAUGAUGAAUCUAUGUAUCAAUCAGAAGCUAGGAAAAGGCUGAGAUGCUGAUUGUCCCCGCCCUGCAUGGAAUCCUGGACCAUUCUGGAAACUGGAGAGCUGGUGAAGUCGUGUCUGCCGAAAAACCACAUCUGGUUCACCACCGCCUCAACAGAUACACAAUGAAAUACAAAGGCCAAUUCUGCGGUGUACACAAUCCGUGUCAGUUUACCCAGAGGAUUCCAGAUGGAAUGAACUCCGCAGACGGGGUUCACGGAGCGCAGGCGAUGCUGGGGGAGGAGGUGAGCCACGGGUGGGGCUUGAAACCCUCAAGGAGCUCCCAGGGGUACCGUGAUCAGUCCACGGGGUGGGGGGUGGGGUGGAGCUCUCGCCCUGGGCGAGGUGGGGGGGGACCUGUGAAUCUUUGCAAACUCCGCCUUUCCGUGUUGGUUGACCAGCCACGCUUUUGCAGAGUUGCAAUUUCUCAAAGUAACUUUUUUUCCCCCAGCCCUCAUUGUCUCCCUUGGAAAUCGUAAGGCGAAUAUUGGUGCUGGGAGGACAUGUUGCGCUGCAGCGGUGGAGGCGGAGGCGUUUUACACGUUGUUAAGGUAGGAGUGACGGCAUCUGUAUUUAAACCUAAUAGAAAAUAUCAGCCACCGUUUCUUGAAUGUCUGCUCUAGGCCAGAGGCCGGGCUUAAGAAUUUUCUUUGCCUGGACACAGUUCUGUGAGGUCUCCGGAGGUGUGGCUCUUGAGCGUUUUAUAGAUGUGGUAAAGUGACCUUCCCCAAACUUGAGUGGCUUCGUGUUUUUGAUUGUUUACCUGUAUCUCAUUGAUGUUGAGUAUAUGCCCAGGAGUUUGUUUAUUUGUUUGUUUAUUUAUUUGCUUUUUAGGGCCACACCUUUGGAAGUUCCUGGGCUGGAGGCCGAAUGGGAGCUGCCGUGACCCGCCUGCACCAAGCCACAGCAACGCGGGACCUGAGCCGCGUCUGCAGCCUCACACCACAGCUCACAGCAACACUGGAUCCUUAACCCUCUGAGCAAGGCCAGGGAUUGAACCCGCAUCUCGAGGAUACUUGUUGGGUUCAUUACCAGUGAGCCACAACGGGAACUCCUGCCCAGUAGUUGAAUUGCCCUGUCAUACCUGGGUUUGCUGCCAGACCAUUUUCUAAAGUCCUGAUAUUAACCCAAGGAGCAGAGCCACAUUUGGGAGUACGUCUGGCUGGUGCCUGCUCUAAUAUUUUUAGACUCAGCAAUAUAUCCCAUCAAGAUGCCACGUGUAAAGAAUAGGGUCUUUCCAAGAAAACAUUGCUCCUGGCAAAUAGAGAUUUGUGGGGGGGGGGGGCGCGAUUGCUUUAUUUUGCAAACAUUUCUAUUAAUAUCUGACAACAACGUACCCACGACGUGGAUAAAUCUCAAGCAAACAGCUCAUUGAAUUUUUACAAAGUGAUUACUCCCUUGAGAGCUCCCCCCCAUCAAGGUACAGGGCAUGACUACAUUGAGAUCCUGCUGUAUAGCACAGGGAACUCUGUCUAGUCACUCAUGAUGGAAUACGAUGGAGGAUAAUGUGAGAAAAAGAAUAUGUGCGUGUGUGUGUGUGUGUGUGUGUGUGUGUGUGUGUGAGUGAUUGGGUCACUUGGCUAAACAGCAGAACUUGACAGAACAUUGCAACUAUAAUAAAAAAAAUGUAAAAAAAAAAUAAAUAAAAAUG
rnacentral:lncRNA from 1 species